CGCGCAUACUGUUUCUACGAUUGGUUUCUUCGAUUUGCAUUCGCCAUCGUAAACGUACCGGCUGGAUCUUAGGCUACAUUUCAUAUUCCCUGUAAGCAAACGAGAAAUUGUAUAGGAUUUUGUUUCCGUUUCAGUGAACUUGAAAUGAACAUAUCUGCCUAUAACUCUGCGUGUUUGCGAAUUAGCGCUCUGUUGCAUUUAGAGGUUAAUACAGUACAUGUAACGCUAAAUAUGAACCGCAUCAACUGGAGUAAAUAAUCCUGAUUUCUGAAAUGUCAAAUGUCAGUUUUUCAAGCCAGUGUGUCCUAAAUACAAAAUACAGGGUGCUCAAGAAAUCCCAGAACUAUUUUGGAGAAUGAAAAAUAAGGAAAGAGUUGCGUUGAAUUUUGAUGCAUAUAAUAGGUACGUUAUUCUCCUCUUCACUCCUGUCCAGAAAUUUUAAUCUUCUGCAACUCGGAAUGGUGAUGAAGCUAAUGAAUCUACGCUCGACCAUCCCUCGGAUCUAUGUAGCUUUUCAUUUG